rnacentral:tRNA from 1 species
AGAAGCUGUGGUUCAGUGACUGAGUAUUUGGUUAACAUGCAGAAGGUCCCAGGUUCAAUUCCUGGCAUCUCUA